GCUUCAAUAUUAUCUUCUUUGACAACUUGAUCCUGGAAGGAUAUACAAGGGGGAGAAAAACUCAGUUGAUAAGGUUUAAGGAGAAAGAACUCUAAUGAAGAGAUGCUUUCAUGACAUCCCAGACAUCCCCACUGCAGCUGCCUCCCUGGCUCACCUUAGUGUAAGAGUAUAAUCGCCGUGCAUCUUAGUAGACGCGUCUCGUACCAAGAAGGUCCCAUCCGCUGUAUCACGGAGCUUUUCAUUCACUUCUUCCCUGGAAUGAACACAACGAAGGACCAUGCUUACUUUUCAACUUUGAAAGACCACACACUUACAGAUAGACAGACAGACAGACAGACACACACCCCAUUUCCCCUCCUGCACUCAGGAUUGCUGUACCACUGGGCCAUACCCUUAGCCUUCACAGAUACUGAGCACAAAAUCCAGAGGUCCCACCUCUUACAUCCUCCUGUCCUUGUGGGGUCACGUGUCACUAUCGCACAUAAAACUAAUUAACAAUUUUUCUUUGCUUAUAAAGAAGUGUCAUAUAUUCAUCCUACUAAAAAUAAGUGCAUGACACCUACACUUAUGCAUACAUACACCCACUUAUACUAUUGGCAUCUCUAUAACACAAGGAUUGUUUUCCCCCCUUUGAAAACAGUUCCUGAUAAAUCGGCAGAGAAAGUCAGCCCACAAAGAGGCUCUCCCAGCCCACUCACUAACCACUCCAAAAGCUCCAAGGGUUUAUGAGGGAAGCAAUAACCUGGAUUCCUAAAGUCCUGCUCACUCGAGAGAAAGCGGGCAGUGCUCUGUCACCCUGGGAGCUUCCCUGACAUCUCGGUCCACAGGGAGGCUUCCUGGGUAUUUAAUUUCCUGUGUCAUCCAGCACCCACACUGCUCCGGUGCUCGGUGACUUUUCUGGUCGUCUUUGGAAGAGAACCAACUAUGCUUCAUGCGUAUGUUGGAUGACAUCCUAAAAAUGGAACUCAGCAAGCUGGCGCUCUCUGUUCUACUGAAAGCCUCCCUGCAUCUGGUGGCAAGGCAGAGCCCCAUGGCCUUACCUUGAGAUGUCUCCCCAGUACCACUCAGCAUCCUGUAGGGACAUGCUGUUCAUGCCGUUGUUGGCUACCGUAGUGGGCUUGGGUGGCUUCGGGGGCAGUGCUGCAGGCAAAGGAGGAAAAGAAAGUUGUUUGCAAUCCUGUCUCCAAGUGCACCUUUCAAAUUAGGAUCCCAUCUUUUCAGCUGAACAACAUUUCAUUGCAGCAGCGAAGAGUAAGGAGGAAGUGGUUUAAUU